AGACUUUCACAGUGUCAGGUUAGUUACCUAAAUCUUAGGUAACUUUAGGUUAGUUACCUAAAGUCACUCUGUGACUUCAUCCUGAUAUAAAGGAACAAGGAAGAGAGUCGGAUUAGGCUAACUCACUAUGAUGGGGUAACACAUAGAAAAGGCACGGAGAAGUUAAGUGAUUUGCCUGUGGUCACAAAGCCUGUUAGCAGCAAACCCAGAACAAGAACCUAAGAUUUAUGACCGCCAGUUCCAGCUGUUUUUCUUCGUCAUGUAUCCUCAGCAAUCAACAUAAUCAAAAUCUGUUUGGAGACUACUGAUUUGUAUAAAGGAAGAUAACACCGAACAACCAAACAGGAAGUAAUCCAGCGAAUCUGGAACAGCGGUGGAAUUUAGAAGCAAGGCCAGAUGAGGACCCUAAGACCUAGAGAAACUAAGUCAUUUGCUCAAGAAGACAAAGGUAAUCAUCAGAAAUCAACAUGAGAUUUCAGCUCUCCUGAUCCUUAGUACAACAUGUGAAAGAAGAUAUGUUGUCUUUACUCACAGUGGAGGCAUUUUUCUAGCUGUGUUUGAUUUGGCUUCCCUAUAGAUUCAGGACCCAUAACUCUUGUUCUCACUCAUCUGCUAUGCUGCUGAUAAGGACUUUCAGGUCAACAGCUGUAACUGCUAAAUGAAGUUAAUACUCUGGAAAAAAAAAAAAAAAAAA
rnacentral:lncRNA from 1 species